rnacentral:rRNA from 1 species
GAGUUUGAUCGUGGCUCAGAUUGAACGCUGGCGGCAUGCCUUACACAUGCAAGUCGAACAGCAGCACGGGAGCUUGCUCCUGGUGGCGAGUGGCGAACGGGUGGGUAAUGCAUCGGAACGUAUCCUGGAGUGGGGGAUAACGUAGCGAAAGUUACGCUAAUACCGCAUAUUCUGUGAGCAGGAAAGCGGGGGACCUUCGGGCCUCGCGCUCUUGGAGCGGCCGAUGUCGGAUUAGCUAGUUGGUGAGGUAAAGGCUCACCAAGGCGACGAUCCGUAGCAGGUCUGAGAGGAUGAUCUGCCACACUGGAACUGAGACACGGUCCAGACUCCUACGGGAGGCAGCAGUGGGAAUUUUGGACAAUGGGGGCAACCCUGAUCCAGCCAUGCCGCGUGAGUGAAG